rnacentral:rRNA from 1 species
UACGGAGGGUGCAAGCGUUGCUCGGAAUCAUUGGGCGUAAAGCGUACGCAGGCUGUUCGUUAAAUCGGGUGUGAAAGCCCGGGGCUCAACCCCGGAAAUGCGCCCGAAACUGGCGAGCUUGAGUGCGGGAGAGGGAAGCGGAAUUCCUGGUGUAGAGGUGAAAUUCGUAGAUAUCAGGAGGAACGACCGGUGGCGAAAGCGGCUUACCUGGCCCGACACUGACGGCUCAUGUACGAAAGGCGUGGGGAGCAAACAGG